GACGAACGCUGGCGGCGUGCUUAACACAUGCAAGUCGAACGGAAAGGCCCUGCUUUUGUGGGGUGCUCGAGUGGCGAACGGGUGAGUAACACGUGAGUAACCUGCCCUUGACUUUGGGAUAACUUCAGGAAACUGGGGCUAAUACCGGAUAGGAGCUCCUGCUGCAUGGUGGGGGUUGGAAAGUUUCGGCGGUUGGGGAUGGACUGGCGGCUUAUCAGCUUGUUGGUGGGGUAGUGGCUUACCAAGGCUUUGACGGGUAGCCGGCCUGAGAGGGUGACCGGCCACAUUGGGACUGAGAUACGGCCCAGACUCCUACGGGAGGCAGCAGUGGGGAAUAUUGCACAAUGGGCGGAAGCCUGAUGCAGAAACGCCGCGUGCGGGAUGACGGCCUUCGGGUUGUAAACCGCUUUCGCCUGUGACGAAGCGUGAGUGACGGUAAUGGGUAAAGAAGCACCGGCUAACUACGUG
rnacentral:rRNA from 1 species